rnacentral:rRNA from 1 species
UACGUAGGGUGCAAGCGUUAAUCGGAAUUACUGGGCGUAAAGCGUGCGCAGGCGGUUUUGUAAGUCUGUCGUGAAAUCCCCGGGCUUAACCUGGGAAUGGCGAUGGAGACUGCAAGGCUAGAGUUUGGCAGAGGGGGGGUAGAAUUCCACGUGUAGCAGUGAAAUGCGUAGAGAUGUGGAGGAACACCGAUGGCGAAGGCAGCCCCCCUGGGUCAAGACUGACGCUCAUGCACGAAAGCGUGGGGGAGCAAAACAGG